CAGCAGCCGCGGUAAUACGUAGGGUGCAAGCGUUGUUCGGAAUUACUGGGCGUAAAGCGCACGUAGGCGGAUACUUAAGUCAGGGGUGAAAUCCCGGGGCUCAACCCCGGAACUGCCUUUGAUACUGGGUAUCUCGAGUCCGGAAGAGGUGAGUGGAAUUCCGAGUGUAGAGGUGAAAUUCGUAGAUAUUCGGAGGAACACCAGUGGCGAAGGCGGCUCACUGGUCCGGUACUGACGCUGAGGUGCGAAAGCGUGGGGAGCAAACAGGAUUAGAUACCCGAGUAGUCCCUGUCUCUUAUAC
rnacentral:rRNA from 1 species